CAGAGUAGGAAGUACGCGUAAGACCUUCGGGUCGCAGUGCCGACGGGACGGGGAGUUGUCUGUCGGACGAAGAGCGCUUCGGCGCCACGGUGUGCUUUCCGCAUCCCGCUG
rnacentral:ncRNA from 1 species